rnacentral:rRNA from 1 species
AUGGCGAAGCCGCGAAUAGCUCAUUACAACAGCCAUAGUUUAUUGGAUCUUCUCUCWUACUUGGAUAUCUGUAAUAAUUUKAGAGCUAAUACACGCUUACRWMCUGMAAGCUCAGGMGAGGAGCGCAUUUAUUAGAACAAAACCAAUCGGGCUWGCCCGUCGUUUGGUGAYUYUGAAUAACUYASUKGAUCGCASGGUCUAGCACYGGCGACAUAUCUUUCAAGUGUCUGCCUUAUCAACUGUCGAUGGUAGUUUAYAUGMCUACCAUGGUUGUAACGGGUAACGGAGAAUCAGGGUUCGACUCCGGAGAGGGAGCCUGAGAAACGGCUACCACAUCCAAGGAAGGCAGCAGGCGCGCAAAUUACCCACUCUCAGCUCGGGGAGGUAGUGACGAAAAAUAACGAGACGGUUCUCUAUGAGGUCCGUCAUCGGAAUGGGUACAAUUUAAACCCUUUAACGAGGAUCUAUUGGAGGGCAAGUCUGGUGCCAGCAGCCGCGGUAAUUCCAGCUCCAAUAGCGUAUAUAAAGUUGUUGC